UGGGGAAUUUUGGACAAUGGGCGAAAGCCUGAUCCAGCAAUGCCGCGUGUGUGAAGAAGGCCUUCGGGUUGUAAAGCACUUUUGUCCGGAAAGAAAUCCUCUGGGUUAAUACCUCGGGGGGAUGACGGUACCGGAAGAAUAAGCACCGGCUAACUACGUGCCAGCAGCCGCGGUAAUACGUAGGGUGCAAGCGUUAAUCGGAAUUACUGGGCGUAAAGCGUGCGCAGGCGGUUUUUGUAAGACGGAUGUGAAAUCCCCCGGGGCUUAACCUGGGAACUGCAUUCGUGACUGCAAGGCUAGAGUAUGGCAGAGGGGGGUAGAAUUCCACGUGUAGCAGUGAAAUGCGUAGAGAUGUGGAGGAAUACCGAUGGCGAAGGCAGCCCCCUGGGCCAAAUACUGACGCUCAUGCACGAAAAGCGUGGGGGAGCAAAACAGGAUUA
rnacentral:rRNA from 1 species